rnacentral:rRNA from 1 species
AACGAACGCUGGCGGCAUGCCUAACACAUGCAAGUCGAACGAAGUCUUCGGACUUAGUGGCGCACGGGUGCGUAACGCGUGGGAAUCUGCCCUUGGGUACGGAAUAACUCAGAGAAAUUUGUGCUAAUACCGUAUAAUGUCUUCGGACCAAAGAUUUAUCGCCCAAGGAUGAGCCCGCGUAAGAUUAGCUAGUUGGUGGGGUAAAAGCCUACCAAGGCGACGAUCUUUAGCUGGUCUGAGAGGAUGAUCAGCCACACUGGGACUGAGACACGGCCCAGACUCCUACGGGAGGCAGCAGUGGGGAAUAUUGGACAAUGGGCGAAAGCCUGAUCCAGCAAUGCCGCGUGAGUGAUGAAGGCCCUAGGGUUGUAAAGCUCUUUUACCAGGGAUGAUAAUGACAGUACCUGGAGAAUAAGCUCCGGCGAACUCCGG